rnacentral:rRNA from 1 species
CACGUAGGGGGCAAGCGUUGUCCGGAAUCAUUGGGCGUAAAGAGCUCGUAGGCGGCUCAGUAAGUCGGGUGUGAAACCUCCAGGCUCAACCUGGAGACGCCACCCGAUACUGCUGUGGCUAGAGUCCAGUAGGGGAGUGUGGAAUUCCCGGUGUAGCGGUGAAAUGCGCAGAUAUCGGGAGGAACACCAGUGGCGAAGGCGGCUUACUGGACCGGUUCUGACGCUGAGGCGCGAAAGCGUGGGGAGCAAACGGG